AUCGAUGAAGAACGCAGCGAAAUGCGAUAAGUAAUGUGAAUNGCAGAAUUCAGUGAAUCAUCGNAUCUUUGAACGCACAUUGCGCNCCCGUGGUAUUCCGCGGGGCAUGCCUGUUCGAGCGUCAGUACAACACUCAAGCUCUGCUUGGUAUUNGGCCCUGCCGGCAACGGCAGSCCUUAAAAUCAGUGGCGGCGCCAUCUGGCUCUAAGCGUAGUAAUACUCCUCGCUACAGAGUCCCGGUAGAUGCUUGCCAACAACCCCCAACUUUCUAAGUUUGACCUCGGAUCAGGUAGGGAUACCCGCUGAACUUAAGCAUAUCAAUAAGCGGAGGAAAAGAAACCAACAGGGAUUACCUCAGUAACGGCGAGUGAAGCGGUAACAGCUCAAAUUUGAAAUCUGGGUCUUUCAGGCUCCGAGUUGUAAUUUGUAGAAGAUGCUUCGGGUGUGGCUCCGGUCUAAGUUCCUUGGAACAGGACGUCAUAGAGGGUGAGAAUCCCGUACGUGACUGGUUGCCUUCGCCCAUGUGAAGCUCUUUCGACGAGUCGAGUUGUUUGGGAAUGCAGCUCAAAAUGGGUGGUAAAUUUCAUCUAAAGCUAAAUAUUGGCCAGAGACCGAUAGCGCACAAGUAGAGUGAUCGAAAGAUGAAAAGCACUUUGAAAAGAGGGUUAAAUAGCACGUGAAAUUGUUGAAAGGGAAGGAUUUAUGACCAGACUUUUUCUGGGCGGAUCAUCCGGUGUUCUCACCGGUGCACUUUGCCCAGUUUAGGCCAGCAUCGAUUUUCGGUGGGGGAUAAAAGCUUUAGGAAUGUGGCUCUUUCGGGAGUGUUAUAGCCUAUUGUAUAAUACCCUACUGGGGNAUCGAGGUACGCGCUUCUGCAAGGAUGCUGGCGUAAKGGUUAUCAAUCACCCGUCUUGAAACMCGG
rnacentral:rRNA from 1 species